AGUGAACGCUGGCGGUAGGCCUAACACAUGCAGGCCGAACGGCAGCACAGUAAGAGCUUGCUCUUACGGGUGGCGAGUGGCGGACGGGUGAGGAAUACAUCGGAAUCUACUUUUUCGUGGGGGAUAACGUAGGGAAACUUACGCUAAUACCGCAUACGACCUACGGGUGAAAGCAGGGGAUCUUCGGACCUUGCGCGAUUGAAUGAGCCGAUGUCGGAUUAGCUAGUUGGCGGGGUAAAGGCCCACCAAGGCGACGAUCCGUAGCUGGUCUGAGAGGAUGAUCAGCCACACUGGAACUGAGACACGGUCCAGACUCCUACGGGAGGCAGCAGUGGGGAAUAUUGGACAAUGGGCGCAAGCCUGAUCCAGCCAUACCGCGUGGGUGAAGAAGGCCUUCGGGUUGUAAAGCCCUUUUGUUGGGAAAGAAAAGCAGCAGGUUAAUACCCCGCUGUUCUGACGGUACCCAAAGAAUAAGCACCGGCUAACUUCGUG
rnacentral:rRNA from 1 species